CCUACCUGCAGUCGAGCGGCAGCGACUUACUCACCUUCGGGGAACGUUAGGGCGGCGAGCGGCGGACGGGUGAGUAAUGCCUGGGAAUAUGCCCUGAUGUGGGGGAUAACCAUUGGAAACGAUGGCUAUUACCGCAUAAUCUCUUCUGAUCAAGGAGGGGGACCUUCGGGCCUCUCUCGUCAGGAUAAGCCCAGGUGUGAUUACUACUUGGUAAGGAAACGGCUUACCAGGCCACCAUCUCUAGCUGGUCUGAUAGGAUGUUCAGCCACACUGGAACUGACACACGGUCCAUACUCCUACGGGAGGCCUCAGUGGGGAAUAUUGCACGAUGGGGGAUGCCCUGAUGCAGCCAUGCCGCGUGUGUCAAGAAGGCCUUCUGGUUGUAGAGCACUUUCAGUCGUGAGGAUAGCGGCUAGGUUAAUAGCCUACUUGUUUGACGUUAGCGACAGAACAAGCACCGGCAAACUCCGUGCCAGCAGCCGCGGUAAUACGGAGGGUGCGAGCGUUAAUCGGAAUUACUGGGCGUUAAGCGCAUGCAGGCGGCUUGUUAAGCCAGAUGUGAAAAGCCCGGGGUCUCAACCUCGGAAUCGCAUUUGGAACUGGCCAGGCUACAGUCUUGUAGAGGGGGGUCAGGAAUUUCAGGUGUACCGGUUGAAAUGGCGUAGAGAUCUGAAGGGAAUACCAGUGGCGAAGGCGGCCCCCUGGACAAAGACUGACGCUCAGAUGCGAAAGCGUGGGGAGCAAACAGGAUUAGAUACCCUGGUAGUCCACGCCGUAAACGAUGUUUACUUGGAGGCUGGGGUCUUGAACACUGGCUUUCGGAGCUUACGCGUUAAGUUGACCGCCUGGGGAGUACGGUCGCAAGAUUAUAACUCAAAUGAAUUGACGGGGGCCCGCACAAGCGGUGGAGCAUGUGGUUUAAUUCGAUGCAACGCGAAGAACCUUACCUACUCUUGUCAUCCAGAGAACUUUCCAGAGAUGGAUUGGUGCCUUCGGGAACUCAGAGACAGGUGCUGCAUGGCUGUCGUCAGCUCGUGUUGUGAAAUGGUGGGUUUAGUCCCGCAACGAGCGCAACCCUUAUCCUUGUUGCCAGCACUCGGUG
rnacentral:rRNA from 1 species